rnacentral:rRNA from 1 species
GAUGAACGCUAGCGGCAGGCUUAACACAUGCAAGUCGAGGGGCAGCGCGGGAUAGCAAUAUCCUGGCGGCGACCGGCGGAAGGGCGCGUAACGCGUGAGCGACAUGCCCGUUGCCCGGGGACAACCGGUGGAAACGCCGACUAAUCCCCGAUGGGAUACGAUGCUUCAUGGCAUUGUAUUGAAAGUUACGGCGGCGACGGAUUGGCUCGCGUCCGAUUAGCUGGUUGGCGGGGUAACGGCCCACCAAGGCUGCGAUCGGUAGGGGUUCUGAGAGGAAGGCCCCCCACGAGGGGACUGGGACACGGCCCAUACUCCUACGGGAGGCAGCAGUGAGGAAUAUUGGUAAAUGGGCGGAAGCCUGAACCAGCCAUGCCGCGUGCGGGAAGGAGGGCCUAUGGGCUGUGAACCGCUUUUGCCUGGGGGCAAUAAGGGCGUCGCGCACGUCCGAUGAGAGUACCAGGCGAAUAAGCAUCGGCUAACUCCGUG